rnacentral:rRNA from 1 species
GACGAACGCUGGCGGCGUGCUUAACACAUGCAAGUCGAACGGUAAGGCCCUUCGGGGUACACGAGUGGCGAACGGGUGAGUAACACGUGGGUGAUCUGCCCUGCACUUCGGGAUAAGCCUGGGAAACUGGGUCUAAUACCGGAUAGGACUCCUGGCUUCAUGGUUGGGGGUGGAAAGCUUUUGCGGUGUGGGAUGGGCCCGCGGUCUAUCAGCUUGUUGGUGGGGUAAUGGCCUACCAAGGCGACGACGGGUAGCCGGCCUGAGAGGGUGACCGGUCACACUGGGACUGAGAUACGGCCCAGACUCCUACGGGAGGCAGCAGUGGGGAAUAUUGCACAAUGGGCGCAAGCCUGAUGCAGCGACGCCGCGUGGGGGAUGACGGCCUUCGGGUUGUAAACCUCUUUCAGCUAUGACGAAGCGCAAGUGACGGUAGUAGCAGAAGAAGGACCGGCCAACUACGUGCCAGCCGCCGCGGUAA